rnacentral:lncRNA from 1 species
AUUUAUUAUAAUUUUUAAUUUAAAAUUUUAAUUUAUUGUAAUCAAAUUUAAAAAUUUAAUUUAAUUUAUUAAUUAUUGAUAUGUCACUAAUAUUAAAUAAGAAUAACAAUUAAGAUGCUACAUUACUUUUAGGGUCCGUUUGGUUUGAGUUAUGUAAUAUUACAAAGUAUCUCGACAUAUUCAGGUAUUUUGGAUUUUGGCGUGAGAUUACUACUGAUGCUGCAUUAGAGCGUUUGGUUUAAUACAGUAAUGUAAUACUAGAUUACAGUGCUCAUAGCAUUAAUAUGUUUAGUUCAGUUUAUAAAAUUUAAUAAUCCUGACAUAAAAGUAUAAUUUUUUUCAAAAUUGCCCUUAUUGUGGUCAUUUGAAUAUUAUUUUUUACGGAAAUGACGAAUGGAGGGAAGAAGAUUGUGAUGAUUACUUGGGAGGACGACGCAAUAGAAGAUGAUAGGUGUUCGUGCGAGAGAGAGAGAGAGAGAGAGAGAGAGAGAGAGAGAGAGACGUCGAGAGAGAGAGAGAGCGAGAGAAAGCGGCGUGCGAGAGAGAGGGCCGGGGGGAAGGCGAGAGAGAGAUGAAAAUAAUGCUGUUAAUUAGAUUUGGGGUUGUUAGAGGGUAAAAUUGUUAUUUUAUAUAAUAUGUAGUAUUAACGGAUUUCAGUAAUGCAAGAUACACGACCUUCCUCCCGUUAAUAUUUUCGAUGUAAUCCUGCUCGAUUUGUAAUGCUACAUUAACGACUAGAUUACAUAGCGGAUUAACCAAACACAGUUAUCCUGACAGGAUUGCCUGUAAUCCUGCCAGGAUAACUCGAACCAAACGCACUUAUAUUAAUAACUCAUCAAAAUUUAAUUAACUAAAUUAGAUUGCCAGAUUUUAUUAUAACAGUUUAAAAAAUUCAAGUAAAAAAUUAUAACAAAUUAAAAUUUAAAGACCUAGGUGUAACGGUUAUAGUUUUGAGAAGGGACGGUAAUUUCACAUGGUCUUUUUUUUUUUUUUUUUUAGAAUAAGAUAGCACACUACCCGCUUCUUUCAUUGACAAUAAUAAACUUAGCUACAUAUAUAAGGCAAAUAGGCAUAUGAAAGAAAGCGAAAAAAAAAAAAAAUUUCACACAAUCUCUGACGGGGGUAGAUGGGGGAUAAGACCUGUGUGCUCUGUACUGACCAUAGUUAGUAAAUUCGGAUUCGGCAAAAAUUUGGUACGGAUAUAAUACGCAGAAAAUUCGUUUUCUAAUUUUUAAAUUCGUUGAAAAAUUCGGCUUAAAAAACAAAUUUGAUAUAAAAUAUAAAUAUAAGAUAAUUUAUAUUUAAAAAUAUAAAUUAUAAAUUUUUUAUUUAUAUUUUUAAUAACUCGCGAAUAAUUCGUAAAUAAUUCGGCUGGCCCAAAAAUUCACGAAUAAUUUUCUUUAUUUAGAAAAAAUUUAUAAACGGACCAUUUAAUUCGAAUUUUCAAUAACUCGUGAAUAAUUCGUGAAUAAUUUGCGAAUUAACUAACUAGGGUACUGACUUUUGCGAGACUGUUGACCACCUUUUCACACGGUCUUUCAUCUUUCUGAUAAUGUUUUUAGUUUGAGCACUUUUUUGUGUGUAAUUAUUAGUACCAUCUGCAAGGGCAACUUCCCUGAGCCGAACGAGAUCUUAUUAAAACAUUUUGGUGAAUUGUAUGAUUUAUUCUGAACCAAAUUUUAAAGAUCUAUUUUAAUUUAAAACUUUUCAAUCAAAAUUUUAAAGUUUUACAAUAUUUUUUUUUUCUUUCUUUCCAUUUAGUAAAAAAGAACAUAGCUUUUUUGAACUAUGAUCUAAUAUUUUAAUUUAUUUAAUUUGAGUCGGUCAAUGACACUUUAAUUUUAAAAUUUGAAUAUAUUAUUUAUCUUACAGCUUUAGCUAGUAUACUUUAUAUAAUUCUCGUAACUAUAAAUUCAUUAAAAAAAAAUAAUUAGCUUAAAUUUUAAAGCCAGAAUAAAAUAAAAAAAUAUGAUAAUAAAAUUGAAAUUUUAAAUUUUUGUUAGUGAAAUCAAAAUUAU